UGGGGAAUAUUGGACAAUGGGGGCAACCCUGAUCCAGCAAUGCCGCGUGUGUGAAGAAGGUCUUCGGAUUGUAAAGCACUUUUCGACGGGGACGAUGAUGACGGUACCCGUAGAAGAAGCCCCGGCUAACUUCGUGCCAGCAGCCGCGGUAAUACGAAGGGGGCUAGCGUUGCUCGGAAUGACUGGGCGUAAAGGGCGUGUAGGCGGUUUACACAGUCAGAUGUGAAAUCCCCGGGCUUAACCUGGGAGCUGCAUUUGAUACGUGUAGACUAGAGUGUGAGAGAGGGUUGUGGAAUUCCCAGUGUAGAGGU
rnacentral:rRNA from 1 species